rnacentral:tRNA from 1 species
GGUGGCUCAGGGGUAGAGCACUUGCCUUAAGUGCAUGAGGCCCUAGGUUUGAUUCCUCAGCACCA